GCGCACGGGAGAGUAAUGCAUAGGAACGUACCUUAAAGUUUGGGAUAACCACUGGAAACGGUGGCUAAUACCGGAUGUGGAAGCAAUUCUAAAGAUGGCCUCUAUACUAUGCUAUCGCUUUAAGAUCGGCCUAUGUCCCAUUAGCUUGUUGGUGAGGUAAUGGCUCACCAAGGCUACGAUGGGUAGCUGGUCUGAGAGGAUGAUCAGCCUCACUGGGACUGAGACACGGCCCAGACUCC
rnacentral:rRNA from 1 species